rnacentral:lncRNA from 1 species
GUUUUAUGGAACUCACAUUCAGAGAACCAGGAAUUAUUUAUUCAGAUAAAAGGAAUGUAAAAGUAAUCACAAUUUUCUUGGGGGGUAAACACAAGAGGGGGCCUCCUACUACGUAUCACAAGUUAGUGUUUAUGGAAAGUUUAGAAGCCAAAAGGGUAGGGCUACUAAGAACUGAAGUAAGUUUGGAGCUCUGUUAAUUAGCAAAGACGUCUGAGGGGCUGUUCAGGGAAACAUACUUAUUCUAAUUCCAAGUUUUGGAUAACCAUUGAAAUUCAAUGAUAUAUAUAUGUAUAUAUAUAUUCAAUGAUAUAUAUAUAUAUUCAAUGAGCUAUAUUUCCAAUCUAGAGUACUACAAUCUGUAGCACUCUGGUAACUAUUCAGGUAAUUUAGGCUAAGUAAAACCCACUGAAGCAAUGUCAAAAUAAAUUUAGAAGUAGUGACAUGGCCCAGUGCUAUUAGAACAAAGGACUAAGGUAUUUUUUGAAGCUAAAGCACUUAAACGUGAGGGCUUUUUUGUUUUGUUUUAAUUUGUGAAUUCAGACUGAUGAAAUCUUUGGCUAUUUUUCCUUUUUGAAAUGCUACCAAAACAAUACAGAAAACAUGUUAGCCAUCACAUGUCAGUGGGAGGGGGCUGGGAUUGUGGCUCAAUGGUAGAGUGCUUGCCUAGCAUGUGUGAGGCACUGGGUUCCAUUCUCAGUACCACAUAUAAAAAAAUAAAGAUCCAUUGACUGUUAGAUAAAAAUGUCAGAGAGCCUGAAAGUUGGUAAAAAUAUACCUAAGGUAUCUGAGGAUUUUUUAAAUGCACUUUUAAAAGAUAAUGCAGAAAUGGCUACAACUGCUUCCCCUUGAUGACUUCCCUAUUAAUAAUAAAUUGUUAUUUUCUUAUAUUUAACACUACUUUGUUC